UCGUUUACUUUUUACAAGAUAAUAGCAAGAAUGGUUGCCUGGACUAGUUCUGGAAAAAUGAGAAAGAGUAAAAGGGGGGUUUAGCCUUGUUAAUGUUUGCAUUUGUAUGAGGAAGGAGGGGUUUGCAGAAGAAAACUACGUACUGCAGCCUUACAGUAAAGGUAAGAACAGGUCUCGCACUUUCCAAAAGAUAGUGAACAUCACCGAACAUUUUUUUGGCUUAGAUCCAAGUUCCAAUUAUACAGAUUAACUAAUUAAUACAUAAAUAUUCCAUCAAAAUGACUACUGACAUUUACACCUUUGAAAGAUCAUAGAAUGGCAUGUAUAUUUCAGGAAAGCUAACAAAACCAUUGUCUCCUCGAGUGGAAAUUUAGUUUGAUAGGCAGAAGCCCAUGAAGACUGAUAUGCACAAUCACAAUCACAAUCACAAUCAACAAUCACAAUCACAAUGAAUUCAGCUUCUUUUUUUAGCGGGGACUGUAAAGAAGAUGAAAUGCACACUGGAACUGCAAUCGAUGGAGAGAAUAUCAAAUGAAGUAUGCAAAGUGUCAAAUGAAGCAUUAAGCCUGCAAGGUCCUGCAGAUUGGACACUUAGCCUUGAUGGUUAGCCACCGAUCUAUACAUUCAGCAUGGAAACAAUGUUGGCAUUCAGGUAGGAACAUUAUUGUGUCCUUUGGAACAUAAUCUGCUAGGCAUAUUGCACAGGUUACACCAUUCGGUCCUUCAACCCGACGACUUUCACCAAUUGUGACCUUUUUGUAGGUUUCAAUGGUGGAUAGCCCUGGUGUCACCGUGUUUGAUAAACCAGCUGUUCCGGAAGUUUGGUCUGAACCACUGUCCCGAGGAUUGCCGCAUAACAUCA
rnacentral:lncRNA from 1 species